rnacentral:rRNA from 1 species
CCCUUAGAUGUUCUGGGCUGCACGCGCGCUACACUGAAGCUAUCAACACGUUUUCCCUCCCUGAGAAGGGCGGGUAACCUUUUGAAUCAGCUUCGUGGUAGGGAUCGGGGCUUGCAAUUGUUCCCCGUGAACCAGGAAUUCCUAGUAGACGCGAGUCAUAAGCUCGCAUCGAUUAAUUCCCUGCCCUUUGUACACACCGCCCGUCGCUACUACCGAUUGAACGUUUUAGUGAGGCAUUUGGACCGACGCAUCUCAGUUUAACCGCUGGUUUGUGUUGGAAAGACUUCCAAACUUGAGCGUUUAGAGGAAGUAAAAGUCGUAACA